rnacentral:lncRNA from 1 species
CGCAGCUCUAGGCUGCCCUYGCUCGCGCAGCCGCAGUUCCGCCGGCACUGCGGGGCGUAGAGAGCGUCGCUUAACUGCUGCGGGAUGCUUCUCAGCACUUUUCUGCACCUAGGUGCAUUCCCUUCGGUCGCUCCGAAUGAGUCCACUGUGUACAGAGGCAUCAUGGGAGUUGUCAUUGUCAGGAACAUUCUACACUCCAGGAAUCUUGAGGGAUGCUUCCUUGGAUCUGGAGAUUGUGGAAAGAAGGCCCAAGGGAUAGAGGCACUGACCCUUUCAGGAUGGUGACAUGGGGUGCCAGCUCUCUUUAUGGUGAUUUAUUGCCAAGAAGCCAAGUCAACCUGUGUUUCUGAGAUUGAGAUAGAAAUUCCAAGCCGCUGGCCUGGACUAACUCUCUCUUGGUCUGUGGUGUUGAUUGUGGACACUGGCACAGCAGAAAGUGAAGUGUGAUGUUGCCACGUGACACAUUGUCAGACCUUGCCACUGUUGCCUCAGCACAACGUGGAAACUUUUACUCUGUGCGAUCAGGGCAAGGAAAGCCCUGGAUUCUGGGGACUUGGGGUUCAUAGGUGGAAACCCUUCAGCUGGCUCUGCCUCUCCUCAGCAGUGCCACGGAUCCCUGGAUGGGAAGACUGGUGUCCAUCUCAUGUGUGGCCAGCUUCUGUGUCUUCUUGCCUAUUCCUGUUUUAACUGUUUAGAUCUAAAUAAAAUGCUAAUGACGUUUUCUAUGCUGUGUCCU